rnacentral:rRNA from 1 species
UGGGGGAUAACGUAGGGAAACUUACGCUAAUACCGCAUACGUCCUACGGGAGAAAGCGGGGGAUCACAAGACCUCGCGCGGUUGGAUGGACCGAUGUGCGAUUAGCUAGUUGGUAAGGUAACGGCUUACCAAGGCGACGAUCGCUAGCUGGUCUGACAGGAUGAUCAGCCACACUGGGACUGAGACACGGCCCAAACUCCUACGGGAGGCAGCAGUGGGGAAUAUUGGACAAUGGGCGCAAGCCUGAUCCAGCAAUGCCGCGUGUGUGAAGAAGGCCCUCGGGUUGUAAAGCACUUUUAUCAGGAGCGAAAUCUGCAGAGUUAAUACCUCUGUAGUCUGACGGUACCUGAGGAAUAAGCACCGGCUAACUCCGUGCCAGCAGCCGCGGUAAUACGGAGGGUGCAAGCGUUAAUCGGAAUUACUGGGCGUAAAGCGUGCGUAGGCGGUUUGUUAAGUCUGUUGUGAAAGCCCCGGGCUCAACCUGGGAAUGGCAAUGGAUACUGGCAAGCUAGAGUGUGAUAGAGGAUGGUGAAUUCCCGGUGUAGCGGUGUCUUUGCGUAAGAUCGGAA